rnacentral:lncRNA from 1 species
UUCAAUUUGAAAACCUUUCUGUGGCUCCCUAUUGUCCUCUAGAUAAAGCCCAGCUAGUUAUUGUGGCCUACAAAACCCUUUAUGAUUUGUUUAUUGCUCCCUUCUUCAGACUCAUCACAUGGACCAAUCCUCUUCCUGGCCACAUCCUUCACUUCUAAGCUGCAGCCACACCGAACUACAGAUGUGGUCUAAUUACGAACAGAUAAAACAGAUGAACAGUCUUCACAAAAUAUCUCAAAAACCAAGUGCAAAUUUAGCAAACAAGCCACAGACUAAAAUAAUCCCAUAACUGAAAUGAAAAUGCCUGAUGGAUAAAAGCUGAUGCAUUUUGCUCUGGAAGGUGUCUUUGAGCACAUCAGUGAGUGUAUUAGUUAUCUAUUGCCGAAUAACCCCCCACAUUUAGCAACUUGAAACAUUAAAUAUUUGUUAUCUAUCAUGCACUAUUUCUGUGAAUCAGGAAUCCGGAGUGGCUUCUUUGGAUGGUUCUGGCUCAAGGCCUUUUAAGAGAAUGUAGUCAAGAUAUUGGCCUAGGUUACAGUCAACUGGGCCUGGAAAAUGUGUUUCCAAGAAGGUUCACUCACAUGGCUAUUGGCAUGAGGCCCCGGUUCCUUGCCACAAUGACUUCUCCAUAGGCUGUUUGGGUGUCUUCAUGACCUGGUAGCAUCCCCCAGAGCAAAUGAUCCAAAAGAGAGCAAGACAGAAGCCAUGGUGUCUUUUAAUGCCUAACUUCAGAAGACACACACCAUAGUUUCCACACUAUCCUAUUGGUGACACAGGUUACUCGUAAUCAGUUUUGGAGGGGACAGCACAAGAGUGUGGAUACUAGCAGCUGUGGAUCAUUGGGGGCCAUCUUGGAGGCUGGCUACUGGGAUAAGUAUUUGUAAGUUGCAAAUGUAGGGGCACCUGGGUGGCUCAGUCAGAAGAGCAUGCGACUCUUGGUCUCAGGGUUAUGAGUUUGAGCCCCACGUUGGGUGUAAAGAUUACUUAAAUAAAUAAAAUAAAAAUAAAAAAGAAUAUGUAAGU